GGGUCAAACAUUUAUGGGAGAAGGAUGGGCAUGCGUGCCAUUAGCUAGUUGGCGGGGUAACGGCCCACCAAGGCGACGAUGGYUAGGGGAUCUGAGGGGAUGGCCCCCCACACUGGUACUGAGACACGGACCAGACUCCUACGGGAGGCAGCAGUAAGGAAUAUUGGUCAAUGGGGGCAACCCUGAACCAGCCAUGCCGCGUGCAGGAAGACGGCCCUCUGGGUUGUAAACUGCUUUUAUUCGGGAAUAAACCUGCUUACGUGUAAGUAGCUGAAUGUACCGAAGGAAUAAGGAUCGGCUAACUCCGUGCCAGCAGCCGCGGUAAUACGGAGGAUCCAAGCGUUAUCCGGAUUUAUUGGGUUUAAAGGGUGCGUAGGCGGCCCAUUAAGUCAGGGGUGAAAGACGGUAGCUCAACUAUCGCAGUGCCCUUGAUACUGAUGGGCUUGAAUGGACUAGAGGUAGGCGGAAUGUGACAAGUAGCGGUGAAAUGCAUAGAUAUGUCACAGAACACCGAUUGCGAAGGCAGCUUACUAUGGUCUUAUUGACGCUGAGGCACGAAAGCGUG
rnacentral:rRNA from 1 species